GCCGCCUUCUCAUGGAGGGAGCGCCACACAUUCCCAGCUCCUUUGUAUUUGAACUGGGGUCUGGUUACAUCGCCAAGCUGCCCAGGUGGGGUUGGACCUUGUGACCCUCCUGAUCCCAGAGUGCUGGGAUGACAGUGUGCACCUCCAUGUCCAGCCAGGAAACACAUUGCCCAUAACAAGAGUUUUCUAGGAGGGUUUCUAACCACAAUAUCCAUUUCUGUAGUAGAUACAGGGCUACUCAGGUUUCACAUUUCUACCUCAGUGAGCUUUCAAGGAGUUGGCCCAUUGUAUCUGCAUUGUAAGUUGCAGCAACAUAAAGUUCAAACACACCCUGAUAUUUUUAAAAAUCUGUGUGAUUUGUCAUGCUAGCAUGUCUGUCAUUCUCAGAAUGAGUAAUCUGAGUCUUUUCUUCUUUCCCCUUGAGCAGGAUAGCUGGAGGUUUGGCACCUUUAUGGCUCUCACUGACACACCAUCUAAUCUGUAUCGUCUUGCUUUUGUCUGUGUGUCGGGUACUCAGUGUUCUCUUUUGAAAUCGUGUGCAUCUAUGUUUUGAGACAGGGUCAAGCUCUUCUGCUCACCGGGCCUUGAACUGGACUCAAGGGAAUCUUCUUGCCUCGGUCUCCCAAGAACCUGAAAGGACAGAUGCGCAGCACCACGCCGAGGGCCAGACGUUUUAUAUUAUCGUGCAUCUGUCAGGAAGAUAUAAACUGACCUCUAAGCACUGCUCUGGCUGUCCACAGGCACUGCUAUCUGUUAGCAUUCGCUCAUAUUCUGUUUUGCAUUGCUGUUUAUUUUAGAACUUUUGGAAUGUGUGGACUCCUGUUAUGGCCAGCACACGGACAGUGUGUUGCUUCGUGUACCUGAGAAGAGUGUGUAUUCUGCAUCACGUGGUUCUGCGUCCUCCACUGCACAGAACCUUACUAAGUUGCCCCGAUUGGUGUGGAACUUUUAGAUUCUUCUGCCUCAGUCUCUUGAGUAGCUUGGAUUACAGGGAUGAGAUCCCUGGAGGUGAGCUCUAAUCUCUCCAUCCGAAGUGCCUAGAAAAAGAUAAAAACUCCAGUCCAUUGGAAGACACUAAUACAGGGACGUGAGUAGAAGAGAAUGACGAGG